AUGGCUGUCGUCAGCUCGUGUCGUGAGAUGUUGGGUUAAGUCCCGCAACGAGCGCAACCCUUACUUUUAGUUGCUACCAUUUAGUUGGGCACUCUAAAAGAACUGCCAGUGAUAAGCUGGAGGAAGGUGGGGAUGACGUCAAGUCCUCAUGGCCCUUAUGUGUUGGGCUACACACGUGCUACAAUGGUAUUUACAGUGGGAUGCAAAGAGGCAACUCCAAGCCAACCCUCAAAGAAUACCUCAGUUCGGAUUGUACUCUGCAACUCGAGUACAUGAAGCUGGAAUUACUAGUAAUCGCGGAUCAGCGCGUCGCGGUGAAUACGUUCCCGGGUCUUGUACACACCGCCCGUCACACCAUGGGAGUUGGUUUUACCCGAAGCCGGUGCGCUAACCGCAAGGAGGCAGCCGACCACGGUAAGGUCAGCGACUGGGGUGAAGUCGUAACAAGGUAGCCGUAGGGGAACCUGCGGCUGGAUCACCUCCUUUCUAAGGAUGCCGGUGUUUGAAUUUUCACUUUCAAAUUCUGGCGUACUUACAAAUACUACAAUCAAACGGCCCCACGUCGCCGUCUUCGUAUCCCUUCCAUCGCGAAUGCCGAAUGCGGGAGAUGGCGUCCGCUCUCCAACAGCUGGUGUCAGCCGAAUAUGGGCCUGUAGCUCAGCUUGGUUAGAGCGCACGCCUGAUAAGCGUGAGGUCGGUAGUUCAAGUCUACCCAGGCCCACCAUCCUUUAAAGGUGGACCCUUUCGAGGUGGAUCGAGCAACAAUUCAGCCACUCCGGAAUGGGGGUGUAGCUCAGUUGGGAGAGCGCCUGCUUUGCAAGCAGGAGGUCAUCGGUUCGAUUCCGUUCACCUCCACCAUUUUGCGCUGCAAGUUAAUGAUUUAGCGGCAGUAUGGCAGGACCCCCAUUUGAACAGCAUUCGCGGAAAACAAGUUUUGCCGAUAUACUUUCAUCGGCGGCGCACUUGAGAAAUCGAGAGCGAGCUUUUUGUCAUUGUGAAGAAGAUUGAUCCUGGAUCGUAAUCCUUUUACGACCCGGCGAAAACGGACGGCGGCAACGUCAGAAGGGGUCGUUGGUAGUGAUUGGGUUGCGAAACGAUUUUGCAGGAAUGUUGUGCUUAGGGUUUAUCUCUACGCACGACUUUUCGUAAUCAAGCGUUAAAGGGCAUUUGGUGGAUGCCUUGGCACUAAGAGGCGAUGAAGGACGUAGCACGCUGCGAUAAGCUGUGGGGAGGUGCGAGCACCCUUUGAUCCGCAGAUUUCCGAAUGGGGAAACCCGG
rnacentral:sRNA from 1 species